CUAGCAGAAACUCCUUUUGGUAAUGUGUGGCUGUUGAGAAUUCCUCUUUGCUGCGUUGGGAGAAUGCUACUUGUGUGACAGCUCUGUUACAUGUUUAUCAGUCUGCUACAUAAUCCAAAACGUGUAAGAAAUUGCAUUUCGUUAAGCAAGACUGCCUAAGGGACUUGAUGGGAUGCUGUCUCCUUGCAUUCAUUUGUAAGCUGCCAAAUCAUGCAAAGUAUUCUAGCCUCCAAAAUUAGGGGCUCUGAUUCACCUGCCGAAAGAGGAAAAACUGUACAGAUGCUACCAAGUGAGGCUGGAGUUGGCAGUCGCUUCUUAUGCAAAAGCUUCUAGCUAGUCCUCCGUCAUGGCAGAGAUGCCAGAAAUGUUGGCCAGCCCUUGUGCCGCUUAGGUAAGCGCUUCAAGCUGUCAGACCAGAGGCUUUCAGGUAAGCUGCCCGGUCUUCGAAUUUGAUUUUGUGAUUUAUGAGUUUUCUAGUUUGAUGCUCCUCAGCAGCAACAUCUUGCGUGUCCUAAUUAUGUGUCGACACGCCGCAAAUGAGCUGAUCUAAUUUGAGCAAAAUAUCCCCUCCCAUCCGCCACCUAAUUAUAGUGUGAUCCACAACUGUGAUCUGCAUCAUCUGGUGAGUUGAUUCUGGCCUGUUGCCUGUUGGAUUGCUUUAUUUUAGUGAAUGUGGAAGUCCAGUGAUAAGCAAUGUAAUAACUAAGAGCGCUGUCUAAAGACUAAACAUGGCUGAAAUUUGUUUGUUAGAAGCCUAUGUUGUUGGGUUUCUCAGUCUCUGAGAAGUUAUUUAUAAAGAUAAAUAAUGGCAGGCUAGUUGAGUAGAAAACACUUCAUC
rnacentral:lncRNA from 1 species